GGACAGGUGGUUCAGUGGUAAGACGCUCGCACUACAACUAGUCGACAAGCGGUGUAAACAGCAGUGCACUGCAGUGUACGCCGCGUAAGACUAAUUGAUCUGCGAGAGACCCGCGUUCGACCCGCGGUGUGUACG